rnacentral:rRNA from 1 species
UACGGAGGGGGCUAGCGUUGUUCGGAAUUACUGGGCGUAAAGCGCACGUAGGCGGCUUUGUAAGUUAGAGGUGAAAGCCCGGGGCUCAACUCCGGAAAUUGCCUUUAAGACUGCAUCGCUAGAAUUGUGGAGAGGUAAGUGGAAUUCCGAGUGUAGAGGUGAAAUUCGUAGAUAUUCGGAAGAACACCAGUGGCGAAGGCGACUUACUGGACACAUAUUGACGCUGAGGUGCGAAAGCGUGGGGAGCAAACAGG